ensembl:snRNA U1 U1 spliceosomal RNA
AUACUUACCUAGCAGGGGAGAUACCAUGAUCAAGCAGGUGGUUUUCCCAGGGUGAAGCUCCUCCAUUGCACUUGGGAGGUGCUGACCCCUGCGAUUUCCCCAAAUGUGGGAAACUCGACUGCAUAAUUUGUGGUAGUGGGGGACUGUGUUCGCGCUCUCCCCUG